AGAGUUUGAUCCUGGCUCAGGAUGAACGCUGGCGGCGUGCCUAACACAUGCAAGUCGAGCGGAGCAAUCUUGAUGAAGUUUUCGGAUGGAAUCAGGAUUGACUUAGCGGCGGACGGGUGAGUAACACGUGGAUAACCUGCCUUAUACUGGGGGAUAACAGCCAGAAAUGGCUGCUAAUACCGCAUAAGCGCACGGCGGCGCAUGGCGCAGUGUGAAAAACUCCGGUGGCAUAAGAUGGAUCCGCGCCUGAUUAGCUAGUUGGCGGGGCAGCGGCCCACCAAGGCGACUAUCAGUAGCCGGCCUGAGAGGGCGACCGGUCACAUUGGGACUGAGACACGGCCCAAACUCCUACGGGAGGCAGCAGUGGGGAAUAUUGCACAAUGGGGGGAACCCUGAUGCAGCGACGCUGCGUGAGUGAAGAAGUAUUUCGGUAUGUAAAGCUCUAUCAGCAGGGAAGGAGAUGACGGUACCUGACUAAGAAGCCCCGGCUAACUACGUGCCAGCAGCCGCGGUAAUACGUAGGGGGCAAGCGUUAUCCGGAUUUACUGGGUGUAAAGGGAGCGUAGACGGCAGGGCAAGUCUGGAGUGAAAGCCCGGGGCCCAACCCCGGGACUGCUUUGGAAACUGCCAUGCUGGAGUGCUGGAGAGGUAAGCGGAAUUCCUAGUGUAGCGGUGAAAUGCGUAGAUAUUAGGAGGAACACCAGUGGCGAAGGCGGCUUACUGGACAGUAACUGACGUUGAGGCUCGAAAGCGUGGGGAGCAAACAGGAUUAGAUACCCUGGUAGUCCACGCCGUAAACGAUGA
rnacentral:rRNA from 1 species